rnacentral:rRNA from 1 species
AACGAACGCUGGCGGCAUGCCUAACACAUGCAAGUCGAACGAAGGCUUCGGCCUUAGUGGCGCACGGGUGCGUAACGCGUGGGAAUCUGCCUUGGGGUACGGAAUAACUCAGAGAAAUUUGAGCUAAUACCGUAUGAUGUCUUCGGACCAAAGAUUUAUCGCCCUGAGAUGAGCCCGCGUUGGAUUAGCUAGUUGGUGGGGUAAAGGCCUACCAAGGCGACGAUCCAUAGCUGGUCUGAGAGGAUGAUCAGCCACACUGGGACUGAGACACGGCCCAGACUCCUACGGGAGGCAGCAGUGGGGAAUAUUGGACAAUGGGCGCAAGCCUGAUCCAGCAAUGCCGCGUGAGUGAUGAAGGCCUUAGGGUUGUAAAGCUCUUUUACCCGGGAAGAUAAUGACUGUACCGGGAGAAUAAGCCCCGGCUAACUCCGUGCCAGCCGCCGCCGUAACAC